CCCGGCUCUGCUGUGUGACCUUGGGCAAGCCAUCACCCUCUCUGGUGAACUCUUAGGAAGGAAGGCAAGAACCAGAAGAUCUGGGAAGGGGCUGGGCUGGCAGGGGCAUGAGGUGGGAUGCACUAGGAGACGCUGACUCAGGGGAUUGAGCGAUGGCGGCAGCAGGGUGGACGCGUGUUUGGACAGCUGCAAGUCCUUAACGGGGAUUUCCCCCCUUUUCAACAAAUCCCUGUAAAACGGCGUUUUGUCCAAGUCAGCGUUUUGUGGCAGCCUGGGCCUCCUCCGAGGCGGCCAGCGAACUCGCUGGGAGCGGGUAGCGCUCCAGGAUCUUUCAGACCACUGUGGGGAGGAGGUAGGGGGCGGGGGUCUGGGCCUUGCAGGAAGAGGAAGUGGUGAUAAUGCAGACCCCUCCUCGCUGGACAGGGCUGAGGGAGCUAACAGCGACUCCUCCCAGGGCCCUCUCUCAGAGGGUCCUGUCCCGGGAGGCCAGCAGAGGGCCCAGGUGAGCCUCUGCAGUUAGUUCAAAGGCCUGCCCAACUCCGCAGCCCAUUUCACCGAUGAGCUAUCAGGUCCAGACCGGAAGGGGGGGUCUGAUGCAGGGGCUCCCAGUGGACCAUGCAGGGGUGUGGCUGGCGUGGCCUGACAGCCCCCCUCCCAGUGGGGGUGGAUGGAACUCAGCCCUGGGCAGGCUCCUGUCGCUCAAGCCCCCCACCCCAGACAGGCAGCGGCAGCUGAGGGAGCCGUGGGGAGCGCUCAGGCAGCCCCGGGGCCUGGCCAAACCACAGGAGCCAGGAAUCUCAGCCCAUCCAGGUUGCAUGGGGACAGAUACCUCCCAAUUCAAAACUUUCCAAGAAUCUGAAUGGAAGCAGGGCCAGGUCCUCACCAGAAUCCAACCAGAAUUGGUAUAACACCAAACAGAAGUCUGGACAAAAGCCCCAGGUGCUGCACCCUGACGAUGCAUGUGACCAGGGACCACUCCUCACUUCUAUGCAGAUUUCUAUCUUUAUCUGCCAAAAAGAAAAUUCUCUGGGUUCCAGCCACCCAACGUUGGAGCCUAGGGAAGGCCUGGAUGGAACCCUCCUCUUGCCACCACUUCCCUCUGUCAAGCUGAGGGGAGGCAGGUAUGUUUGCACAGAUGUGUGAUGGGGUGUGCAAAUAGUCUGAGGAGAGGGCGUGGUGCUGGUACAUUCCUGCUCCACCAGGUCCUUGGCGAUUCUGUAGACCCCUCCCCACCCUGACUUCCCACAUCAGCUAGAGGACAGGACUCUUGCUUCUACAAUUCUUGGGAAGUCCUUCCAUCUGUCUAGCCCUCCUCCCUUCUUUUCAGUUGCCAGCAGCCUCUCCUGAGCACCAGGGAAAUUAAGUGGCCUCCUGCAGCCCCGACUAUUCUCCUCACUUGCAUUGCAGGGAAUCUCUUAGCCCCAUCCUCAGAACUCCUAGUAAUGCUGUGAAAAUUAAGGCUACCUUAAAUAUUCUAAUCUUAUAACAAUUUUGCUCCAAUCAACAUGGAAACAUGCCCCAGACCACCCAGCAGCCUGGUUGGUGGUUUUGGGUCGGGGGUGAGCUCCUGAAGGGAUGGAGGGCAGAGGGCUGCUCUCGGCUUGGGCCUGGCUCUGGAGAGGCUCCCUGGGAGGAGGUCUGCAGGUCACUGGGUCUCUCCCAUGCUCUCUCCUGGCCUGCCCAUGCUGAGUCCCUUCCCCUUCCUCCCCUCCCCUCAGGCAGCCUGGGAAGCAUGGUAGGCCAUGGUUGGAGUCUCCUUAUACUCUCUCCUGAACUGUUGGGCUCAGGGGCUGAGGACUGGUGAUGCUCCACAGGCAAGUGGAGUCAGGGCAGGCUUCAUGGGUGGGUGUGCAGCCUAUGUAAUUGCACAGAGCUCCCUAUUCAGAAGGGCUUGAUUUAAUGUUUUAAUGAUUUAGUGCUGGGUCAUUUUGAAAUUCAUCAUAACUUUUUAAAAAGGGACUCUGCAUUUUCAUUUUGCACAGAGCCCCAUAAAUUAAGUACUGCUCCUGGUGGAGGCCCACACACCCCUCCCUCUAUAGGCCUUCUUCACUCCAUGUUCAGUCAACACCCAGUCAAUAAACAUACACUGAGCACCUACUCUGUGCUGAAAUGUAGUUCUAGAAGCUUGGGGAUACAACAAUGAACAACAUAGAUGUGGCCCUGAUUUUACAAAAUUGCUCUCUGAGUACACUCAGACAUUCACAUAACAACAUAGUAGUUUUGCAAGACGGUUUUCCUAAUAACAACCAUGUUAACCAUAACUGCCGAUUAGGGAACACUCAGCAUAUGCCAGGAAAUUUACAUACUUCAUCUUGUUUCAUCCUCAAAACAGUCAGCAAGGUAGACAUUAUUAUCCCCAUUUCCCAGAUAAAACCUGACAGUUUUUCACAGUUCAAAUCUUUUGUUCUAUGUCACAUAACUAAUAAGUAGCAGAGUCAGGGCUUGCCCUUGUCUCUCAUUUUCAACCUCUCCUCUCCUCCCGCCGCCACAUGCACAUUGCAUUCGGCUGCUUCAGCAUGGACAGAAGCUCCUAGCAUCUCCAUGUCCCCAGCCCCCAGGUCAGGGCUACAUUUUUGUUAAAGAAAAGGAUUCCCAUAUAGACACACUCCCCAAAGAACACAAGGAAACAGACGCUGGAACACAAGAACAUACACGUGACACAUACUGUACUAGAUAAAGAGUUUGGUGCCUAAUACCAGACUAUUUGGGUACAAGUCUUGAAUCUACUAGGUACUAGCUGUGUCAGUUUUCUCAUUGUCAAAAUGGAAAUAGUGGUAGGGUUGUUGUGAAUGCUAAAUGAAAAAUAACACAUGCAGGCCUUAGACCAGCACCAGCAGGCAGCAGCCUUCAGCGAACAUGAGCUGUUGCCAGGCAUUAGCACUUCUCCACAAGCACUCACACAUCCUCCCAGCCCUCCUCUGGCCCAGCUCAGUCCUAGGUGCCCCAUGGUGGACAAUCCAGGCUCCCAGAGCCAGGAGGGAAGAGCAGCUGCUUCUCUCUGCAUCCUCUGGAGCUAUACCUGGACUGGCCCGGGUGAAGGUGUGGGCUUGGGGUGCUGCUCCACAGCAGUGCUGUCUGGGUCCAUCAGGGAAGGCUUCCUGGAUGAGGCCACAGCCCCAGCCAGUUAAGUGAGCCAGGCUGAAGCAGGAGGGUGCUGCCCUUAGCCUUGGCUCCCUCCUCUGUUCCUCACAACCCUCCCUCCCACCUCUGUUGCAGCGCCCUCUCCACCCCUCUCCCCACAGUAGAAACUUUCCUCUCCUCCUGCCAGAAGGGUAAAUUGCCCCCAGGAAUGUGCUGCUAACCCACAGCUCCCCAAAUGUGCUGUGUUCCACAGGUCCCCUGGCAGUGGCCAAUGGCCAUCCUGAGGUCAGGCCUGGCCCUACAUCAAAGGCUGGGGAUGCGUAAGAGUGAGGCUCCUCGCCUGCCACCACCCUCUCUUCUCCCUCCCACCAGCCCUUUGGCUUCCAGGGAGCAGCACAUGGUAGCACUUAAGCUCUAGGACUCCGGAGGAUGCUUUUCCAACACCACCACCCCAGCCAUCCACAAUGAACUACUUGUUAGGAGACUCUUUUAAUUUUACGUAAUGUAAUUUCUGCUCUGGCCUCUGUUGCCACCUCCUUCUCAAACCUGAAUGCCCAGUACAGAUGUAGGGGUGGCCAAUCCACCAGGGGAAAGUGUAACCUCAAUGUGGAAGUGUCACUGGUGGGGGUCUGGGACAGGAACAGGACUUACAUUAAGGGAACAGGGCUGGUCUCCAUUCAGGAAGUAGAGAUUGAUUAGGGGAGGGCUCAGAGCUAGCCAAUGCGCUUUUUCCAGUGCCCUGGGUUCAGUAGGCAGACCCCCCAGCCUGAGAGCCCUGUGAGCUCUGCUUUCAAGUCCCAUGGGAGUGACUGGAGGAAGGGGCCACUUCCAGGUUCUGACCACCCUGAGAUUUGCUCCAUCAGGUGCAUCUUCUAGCAAAUUAUGAAAACCAGGGGGUCCAAUGAUUACUCAAUGGGACGACAGUACAGUGGUGAUUUGGAGACCCCUGGUGGCCAAAAGCUGCAGAGCGAGGCCUUUCCUUGGAGCCCCAGGCAAAGCCAUGUCCAAAGGCCAGCAGCAAGGGCCUUCUGCAGCCCCAGACCUCGUCUAGAACCCAGACUUCUGACCUCAUUAGUCAGCCACUCCCAUACAGGCCAGGCAUAACUGCCCCAUCUUGCUGGAGGGCGUGCCAGCACAUG